rnacentral:rRNA from 1 species
UACGUAGGAGGCAAGCGUUGUCCGGAAUUACUGGGCGUAAAGCGCGUGUAGGUGGUGGGACAAGUCUGCUGUGAAAGCGCCUGGCUUAACCGGGCGAGGUCGGCGGAAACUGUCCGACUCGAGGACGGUAGAGGGGGGUGGAAUUCCCGGUGUAGAGGUGAAAUUCGUAGAUAUUCGCAAGAACACCAGUAGCGAAGGCGGCUCACUGGCCCGAAUCUGACGCUGAGGCGCGAAAGCGUGGGGAGCAAACAGG